CCUACGGGUGGCAGCAGUAGGGAAUGUUGCGCAAUGGGCGAAAGCCUGACGCAGCAACGCCGCGUGAACGAGACGCACUUCGGGGUGUAAAGAUCUGUUAGUGGGGACGAAACUUGACGGUACCCACAGAGGAAGCACCGGCUAACACCGUGCCAGCAGCCGCGGGAAUACGGGGGGUGCCAGCGUUGUCCGGAAGCAUUGGGCGUAAAGUGUUCGUAGGCGGCACGUAAAGUCCGGUGUUAAAGGCAGAGGCUCAACUUCCGUACGGCACUGGCUACUUGCAAGCUAGAAUGCGGUAGAGGUAAGGGGAAUUCCUGGUGUAGCGGUGAAAUGCUUAGAUAUCAGGAGGAACAUCGGUGGCGUAAGCGCUUUACUGGGCCGUAAUUGACGCUGAGGAACGAAAGCCAGGGUAGCAAAUGGGAUUAGAUACCCUAGUAGUC
rnacentral:rRNA from 1 species